rnacentral:rRNA from 1 species
UACAGAGGUCCCGAGCGUUGUUCGGAUUCAUUGGGCGUAAAGGGUGCGUAGGCGGCUUUCUAAGUCUGAUGUGAAAUCCUGGGGCUCAACCCUGGAACUGCAUUGGAUACUGGGAGGCUAGAGUACUGGAGAGGAAACUGGAAUUUACGGUGUAGCAGUGAAAUGCGUAGAGAUCGUAAGGAAGACCAGUGGCGAAGGCGGCUCACUGGCCCGGUACUGACGCUGAGGUGCGAAAGCGUGGGGAGCAAACAGG